GCCCUGUUUUUUAACCACUGUCUGGGAGCAGGACAGAGGUGGCGUAAGGGGUUACCUGGAAGAGUUAGGUUUCCUUUGCUGGCCUGGUGCUUCUCACACUUUCCCAGUCCCCCACGAGCGCUGGGACCACGGCCAGGCAGGCAGCAUGGAAGAGAGAUAUUUCUUUCUCGCUCCAUCCCCCCGGCCCCAAAACGCCACAUCAGCAGCAAGCUGCAAACUGCAGGAUGACCUCAAUGAGGAACAGAUUGUCCCUUGGCCAGCCUCCAUCUCCCUGUCUGCAGGGAUGUGAGGCGGCAGGACCUUGAGCUAGGAGAGACAGAGAUGAGAGAGGGCAUGCCAGUUCCAGGAGCCGCACGUGGGGAUGGAGGCAGUCGGGAGCUGGAGCCAGCGCAGCGGAGCGGGAGCGCAGGACUGCAGGGACUGGCUCGUAGGGGAUUGCUUUCCAUCGUCUCCAGUUCCUGGCUUGUUGGCAGCACCGGGCAAAGAUUUAUAACAAGCGACGGAUAAUCAUUUCAGCACUUACUGCUUCUGUUGCCAGGAGACCUGGACUUCCCAGGAGCAGGAUGAGAAACAGCUUGGUGGUGAAUCCCCGCCAAGUCCCUGCGCUGGAUUCAGCUUGCAUUUGCACUGUGUGAAAUCCUGAGAGCCAGAUCCUGACCCCCUUGCUCACAGGGAAGAAGGACUUUCUGUGAGAACAUUUCAGACUGUGCUGUCUGCUUGUCCUUGGCGUCUGCGGAGGAGCUGGGCACCUCUGGAGGUCGGAGCACCGCUGCUGCUGGCACUGUGCACCCAGUGCAGCUCUUGCCAAGGGGGUGCAGACCCAAACUACCUUCAGUCACUUGAGCUCUGUGUUAGUGGGACUGACGUGCUGCUUACCUGGGCUCUCCAGCAGGGUUAUCUUCACACUGCACGCUGCAUAGCGUGGCAAGAAUGUGCCUAACCUUUUGCUUCAGGCUUGAAUGGAUUCAGAUGCCCCUUAGCUGUUCCGAGAGCUGACCCUAAGCAUGGGGCUGCCUCUCGCGGCCAGCGUUGAUAGAGUCCGAUGGGUGCGUUCAGCCGUGCAGAGGAUUACGCUAUUCCCACAAAUCCUGCAUACCCAGGUGUCCCCCAGGAGUCCAGGGGCAUCAGGAAACCAGAGACUCCUGGCACCUUGGGCUGAAAACGGCCUGGGUGCCCCUGAGCAAUGCUGUCGUUAUCUGCACGGCCUUUACCAUGUGCAAAUUCCCUCAUUUUGCUUUCACGCCGCUGAUGCAAUGCGAGCGACUGUGACUCAGUGUUACGCUCGGAGAAGCCUUCCUGACCCCUUCUGCAACUGGAGAUUGCCCUGAAGCACAGCACCUCAUUAACCUUGCUUUAUUCUUUGUAGCUGCAGGUGUUUUUAUUGCUCAUAAACCUAUCUCAGUCCCUCUCUCCAGCUAUUCUCAUCUUUUGUGUGCUGUGAUUCUUUUUAAAAUGUUCAUUUUGUAAAUCACUUUAAUUAGUUUUAUAUCACUCUGUUAUAUUUAUAUUGCUUGAUUUAGGUUUCAGAUUGCUUCCAUUACAUCUUAUAUAUUGCUUUGAUUUUA